rnacentral:rRNA from 1 species
AGCGGCGAACGGGUGAGUAACACGUGAGCAACCUGUCCCGAAGACUGGGAUAACACCGGGAAACCGGUGCUAAUACCGGAUAUCCCCACCGAGUCGCAUGGCUUGGUGAGGAAAGAUUUAUUGCUUCGGGAGGGGCUCGCGGGCUAUCAGCUUGUUGGUGAGGUAACGGCUCACCAAGGCGACGACGGCUCGCUGGUCUGAGAGGACGACCAGCCACACUGGGACUGAGACACGGCCCAGACACCUACGGGAGGCAGCAGUGGGGAAUCUUGCGCAAUGGGCGAAAGCCUGACGCAGCAACGCCGCGUGGGGGAUGACGGUCUUCGGAUUGUAAACCCCUUUCAGCAGGGACGAAUCUGACGGUACCUGCAGAAGAAGCCCCGGCCAACUACGUGCCAGCAGCCGCGGUAAUACGUAGGGGGCGAGCGUUGUCCGGAUUUAUUGGGCGUAAAGAGCUCGUAGGCGGCUUAGCAAGUCGGGUGUGAAAACUCCAGGCUCAACCUGGAGACGCCACCCGAUACUGCUAUAGCUUGAGUCCGGUAGGGGACCACGGAAUUCCUGGUGUAGCGGUGAAAUGCGCAGAUAUCAGGAGGAACACCGGUGGCGAAGGCGGUGGUCUGGGCCGGCACUGACGCUGAGGAGCGAAAGCGUGGGUAGCAAACAGGAUUAGAUACCCUGGUAGUCCACGCCGUAAACGUUGGGCACUAGGUGUGGGGCCUAAUCAACGGGCUCCGUGCCGUAGCUAACGCAUUAAGUGCCCCGCCUGGGGAGUACGGCCGCAGGGCUAAAACUCAAAGGAAUUGACGGGGGCCCGCACAAGCGGCGGAGCAUGUGGCUUAAUUCGAUGCAACGCGAAGAACCUUACCUGGGUUG